rnacentral:rRNA from 1 species
CAGCCGCCACGGUAAUACGGAGGAUCCGAGCGUUAUCCGGAAUUAUUGGGUUUAAAGGGUGCGUAGGCGGAUAGAUAAGUCAGUGGUGAAAGACGGUGGCUCAACCAUCGCAGUGCCGUUGAUACUGUUUAUCUUGAAUAUGGAUGAGGUAGGCGGAAUGUGGCAAGUAGCGGUGAAAUGCAUAGAUAUGCCACAGAACACCGAUUGCGAAGGCAGCUUACCAAGGCAAAAUUGACGCUGAGGCACGAAAGCGUGGGGAUCGAACAGGAUUAGAUACCCCAGUAGUCCCUGUCUCUUAUAC